CCUUCUAGUCCCCAAUCUGUCUCUGCCUUUGCGCUGCUGCCGCAGAGGCUCUCUGCCUCCCUCCCCACUCGGCCACUCUCCAGUCCCCGACCCUCUGCGGCUCUGCCUCUGCCUCUGCCUCUGCCUACGCCUCCGCCUCUGCACUGCCGCCAUUGCAGCUCUGUUUCCCUCCCCACUAGGCCACUCUCCAGUCCCCGACCCUCUGCAGCUCUGCCUCUGCGCUGCCGCCACUGCGGCUCUGCCUCCCUCCCCACUCAGCCACCCUCCAGUCCCCACUCGCCGCAACGGCACGACUCCAAUGUUUGGUUAAAAAUCGGUUAAAAUCCGAAAAAAUGGGAACCGAACCACCCAAUGUUCAGUUCUCUAGCGCAUAAUAAGUUCAGUUUGGUUUCAGUUUCAGUUCGCCAAGAUUAAAAACCGCAAAAUUUAGUUCAGUAUUAUGUUUGACCCAUAACAAAACUGUUAUGGAACGAUUACACCCCUAGGCCAGAACAUGAAUCCUAUUCUGCUGUUACGCACCAUCUAGGGCAAUAUCCUUGAAACUUGGAAUGCUGCAAAGUACUAGUUGACUAUUCAGUUUAGGGUUUAGGGUUUAGGGUUUUAGGGUUUAGGGUUUAGCUUUUAGGAUUUAGGAUUUAUAAUUUAGGGUUUAGUAAUUUAGAGUAUUUCUCGAUUGCAUUUUCUUUCACAAGCAGAUGGGAUUUGUCACAGCAGUUUUUUAGAUGGAGUAAUAAUGGUCAUAUGUUUUUGAAUUCAUGAUGAAGAACCCCUACCCUCGGAAAAAUCAUGGAUUCCAUGAUGGCACUAAAACCAAUGGCCUGUGCCUAUAUUGUCUAAAAGUUACAAAUAAACCACACCUGAAAGGACACUUAUUUUACAAAUGAGCCCCAAAUACACAUAAGCCAUCUACACAAAUUAAACUGGAGCACACACAAUAACUGCUCUUAUUGAACUAAAAACAUUUGGGGUUAGUACCAACAAUUUUUUGAUCCAAAUCUUUUGAAUUAAUCUCAAAAAAGGGUCUACCAUGAUUAGCUUCUUGUUCUAAAUCAAAUCUCUUAUAGCUUCAAAAUUGACAUGUUGGAGGAUUAAAAAUAGACAGCAACGAACUUUUGCAGCACCAAACUAAGUGAAGAGCUUAAUUGGGAAUUAGUUUCAAUAAAUUUUGAAGGCUUUGGAUGUCUUCUAGCACAUGCCUACCCUUGCUCGUAGUGUCUUCAAGUUGAGUAACUUUUACACGAAUAAUAUUGCCAUAUUCUUUUAUGCUUGGUUUGCUGGUAGCAGGCUCCAAAUUAUUCUUCUUGCUAUUAUAGUGAAAUGCAUCUAUGUUCUCAUGUCUUUUGAGUCACACACAAAUGAUCCAACCAAGUAGAAGCAGCAGAUGGCCAAUGGGUAUGAUAUGUCACCAAACAUGAUCAAAAUAAUCAUCCAUUUGGAUAGGAACUGAAACACCUUCCACUAACAUGUAAAGCAGUGUUAUCAGCCUAAUGUUUCAUAUAAGGCUGUGGGUGGGGUUCUAAAGCUGCAUACAAGUGACAUCAUUUUUUGAAAACACAUUCACAGGACACCUCUCAUCAAUUGUGACUUUUUUUGCAUACAUUUUCUCCACACUUGAGGUAGGAAAUGUACCCAAGGUAUGGGAAAAGGCAUUCCUUUUUCCAAUAAUUUGUCACCAUGUUGCUGGUUUGUUUGUUAGUUUUUUUUAUUUUAUUUUUUAUUUUAAAUUUUAAAUAUAUAUUGCAGCUAUAUAUCACCAAACCUUUAACACAAUUUGCCCCAGAAUUUUCAAUUUCUCUAAAUCUAUCUCUAAUUCACCUUUAACCUUGAGUAAUGAGUAUCAUGCAGAAACUAAACAUUCCAAUUAGAAAACUCACCAUAUGAAACAAUGGAAUCUGAUUCUUGAUGCUGGCACUGGCAGUUGACUCUUCAAAAUGCUGAUGGUACAAGGCAGUCCAAUUUCUAGCAAUUCAGAUCAAAAUGUUGUACAUGAAUACAAAAUAUUUUGACUGGAAUCAAGUUAUUGUGCUGCAAAUCAAAAUUUCAAAUGUAGGAUUUCAGUCACAUGUACGCCACAUGUUGGGGAGAAACAGGCUAGAAAACUUGGGAUUUUCAAGGGCAGAUGGCUGGGGAACCUUUAGCUGGUGCCCUGGGCUACACAUGUUGUUGGAUGGCAAUGAAAUUUGGGGAAGGGGCUGAUUGGCAAUGUCUGUGGUAGCUGUUGCUAACCCUACUUGGAAAGUAGAUUACGAAAGUGUAGGGCAGUGACAGUAUGCUUCUGGUUAUUAUAUGGUGCGGUGAACAGUUCUGCAAUUAGCAGUGUUAAGUGUAUAAUCGAGGAGGGAAGGUGUGGGAGAGAGAGGAGGGAGGAAAGAAAAUCAAAGAUGGAGAAGAAAACUUGGAUCAAGAAUUUGACAGGAAAUUGAUUGCUGCUGAAUAUCCUAUUCAUCGAUAUCUUUUUCUGCAGGUGUUCCAGAAGUAAUUUAUUUAUCCUAUUAUUAAUAUUUUUUCAUUCAUGACUUAUAGCUAGAAGAUAAGGGAGGGACGACUUAGAUGGUAUGGACACUUGCAACGUAGGCCACAUAGCACACCUAUGAGGAAGAGUGACUUAGUUACUGUGGGGGGGGGGGGGCAGUAGAAGGGGUAGGGGUGGACCUAAAAUAACUUGGGAGGAGAUAGUGAGUAAGGAUUUAAUAUCCUUGAAUCUAUCAAAAGAAAUGGUACAUGAUUGCAUAAAUUGGCGGGAAAAGACUCAUAUAGCCAACCCCACCUAGUGGGACUAAGGUUUGAUUUUGUUGUUGUUGUUAUUGACUUAUAUAGCUAGAAUUACCUUGACAAAUUGCGAAUACUAAUUUGUUAAGAAAUAAACAGAAUUGAAGCUAUCUCAUCAUUAUUCUUUGGAAUUGAAAUAGCUGCUUGGUCUGGGUCACAAUUUGUAUCUAUGGAAUUCCUGAAGUGAUAUGUUCCGUACAGACCAUAUGUUCUUCUUGCUCAUUAAUAAUGAUUACGUUUUUUCCCCAAGCACCUUGUUGAUUGCAACACCAAGAAAUAGAUGCAAAAAAUCUUUCUGAGAAUGUACCUUAGCACUUAUGGUAGGACACAUUUUUUGCAACACCAAGAAAUUGAUGCAAAAAUUCUUUCUGAGAAUAUACCUUAGCACUUAUGGUAGAACACAUUUUUUGCAAAUGCAAAUAUGAAAACCUAAAAAUCAAUGAAGUAUUGAAGAACUUAUACUGUUAAGUGUGUUGGGCUGGAGUUUGAAUUGAUUUAAGAACCGGUGAUGAAAGGGAUUUGUACGCACUUUUAAAAUGUGUAUGGACAAUUUUUGUUUCCUGAAAGGCAAUAUUUCUUGCUGCAUCAGGGGUUUUUACAUUUCUGGUAUGACACGAUCUUCAUAUUCAUAUUCAUAUUUAUUGAUGACUAAUGCACCCUCAUGUGGAAAUUGACUAUAUCUGAGCCAUGUUUCAUGUCUAUCUGUCAACCUGCCAGAUUCUCCAUCCAUCUUUUGUAUUAUGGUAUGACAUGUUAUAGAGCUUUUUAAUUAUAUUUUCAUGUGAUUUAUGCUCGGGCAUUUGUAUAUAUGCUGUACUUUUCAAUCUUCGGUGAGGAUCUGCUGUAGUGAAACUAACAAUUGCAUUGCACCUGCCAGUGGUAUUGCUGCCUUGUGUGACUUGUGGCUCUUUGAAUUUUUAAAUUUUUUUUUGUUAAUAAUUUAACCCAAGCUUACCUACACAUGUGCAUGCUGAAACUGUUGAUUUUAGUCCUUGGACGCCUACCUAGGAAAAACGACACUCCUAAGAGGCCCAAGUGUUUGUAUCCAUCGUGUGUUGGACUCCAACAUGACGACAUGUGCCCAACAUGCCCUGAUAUGACCCUCUUAUGUGUUGGGCAAAAUAAUUUCAGGUUUUUUGUUUUAAAUUUUCGGACACAAUUGGGCACACAUGGACACAACGUGAGUAUGCAAUAUUUCCUCACCGAGUAUGCAAUGUUUGUAUUUUCUUCUUGUUGAUUUAUUAAGAUAUAUUGUUUGGAAGUGUGGAUUUCGGGGCUUGAAUUUGGAUUUGUGUAAAUUUGGUAGAAACUCUAUACAAUUUUGUACUAUGUUUUGUCUAUCUCCACACAAAUAUAAAUCCAAGCUCUGAAUGCCAUGCUCCCAAACAUAGGGUAAGAAAAUUUUAACUGCUAAUCAUAUCUUUUAGGUGGAGGGAACCUUUCCUGAUGGGACAAAGUUAAUCAUCAUUCAUGAACCAAUUUCCUCCGAAGAUGUAAAUCUGGAGCAGGCAUUUGAUGGCUCUUUUCUUCCAGCCAGGCGAAACAAAAAGUACAAUUUGUUAGGAUUGGGGGCAAGCAAGAGAUAAAGGGAGGAAAUGGUAUUGUUUAUGGUCCUGUUGAUGAUGCCAAUAUCGAAACAGUGAUUGAAGCUGUCCGCACAAGAAGAUUUGGGAAUUCUGGAGAAACAGAUGCUAGAGAAGGUAUCAGUGGAGAAGAUCCUGAUUUCACGAAAACAAUUUCUCGCGAGGAAUUUGCCAACAAGUACGGACCUACCACUGGUGACAAAAUUCGGCUUGGUGACACUUACCUGUUUGCAGAUUUGAGAGAGAUUUUGCUGUAUAUGGUGAUGAAUGUGUAUUUGGAGGCGGAAAAGUUCUAAGCGAUGGAAUGAGGCAAGCUUUUGGCUACGCAUCACAUGACUGUCUUGAUACGGUUAUUACAAAUGCUGUGAUGAUUAUACUGGGAUUUUUAUAGCAGAUAUUGGUAUUAAAAAUGGUCUUAUUUUUUCCCUUGGAAAAGAAGGCAAUCCAGAUGUCAUGGAUGGUGUUUCUUCUAACAUGAUCAUUGGGGCUAACACUGAGGUUAUUGCUGGAGAGGGAAUGAUAGUAACUGCUGGGGCCAUAGAUUGUCAUGUGCACUUUUUAUGCCCUCAACAGGCAUAUGAUGCAAUAUCAAGUGGAAAAAAUGUGCGAUUUCCUGCUGUGUCUUGUUGUUCCUAGUUUCCUAAAAAGGGAAGGGAGACUGGAGCAGAGCAAGGAGAAUCUGCGAAUCAUCUUGUCCUACCCUGGGAUUGGAAAAAGGCUACACGCAGCAGAAAAAUUUGGGAAAGGGCUGCUGGCUUGGAGGGAUUUUAAGUGCAGGAAACGAGAUCCCUGAGAUUCCAUUCAUCAAGCAGUGUUCCAAUCAGUUUGGAGAUGGAGAAGCUAAAGCAUUCGAAUGAGUGGAAACCACUUUUGUUUGUACUAUGUUUUGUCCAUCUCCACACAACUAUAAAUCCAAGCUCUGAAUGCCAUGCUCCCAAACACAGGGUAAGAAAAUUUUAACUGCUAAUCAUAUCUUUUAGGUGGAGGGAACCUUUCCUGAUGGGACCAAGUUAAUCACCAUUCUUGAACCAAUUUCCUCUGAAGAUGUAAAUCUGGAGCAGGCAUUUGAUGGCUCUUUUCUUCCAGGGAUGCAUAUGAUCUUUAUGGAGCAAGAUUUGCUCUUCUCCAAUUAAGCUUCCCAACAUCUGGAAGAGAUCAUGUUAAUCAUGGUCACCCGUGGUGUUGAAGUGAGAUAUUUUGAGGUUAGAAAUACAAAAGAAGACAUUGGAUAUGUACCAUCAAUGUGAAAUUUCCUGGCACUGGUGCUGGACUUUAGUAUUUAUUUUGUGUAUCCAAAUCGCAUACUAACUGUAUUUUUCCUUGGGUUUUAAUUGGAAUAUGACGAACUAGGAUAGAAACUCAUAGCAUAUUCUGGAGUCAAUUUGGGUAGCUUUUUUUGAGUA